ACGACUCUCGGCAACGGAUAUCUCGGCUCUCGCAUCGAUGAAGAACGCAGCGAAAUGCGAUACUUGGUGUGAAUUGCAGGAUCCCGCGAACCAUCGAGUCUUUGAACGCAAGUUGCGCCCGAAGCCUUUUGGCCGAGGGCACGCCUGCCUGGGUGUCACUCAACUGUCGCCCCGACCCCCUUCUGAUAGGAGGGA
rnacentral:rRNA from 1 species